rnacentral:lncRNA from 1 species
GAAAUGUGAUAGAUGAGAACUUCUUCAUUGCGGCUAACAUGCUCAUAAGAGCACCUGAUGGUGAGCUAAGAAUGAUUUAUCCGGGCUAUACAACUGAACUUCCUCUCCCUUGUGAGAGACGUCGGUUGUAUAGGGUUCGCACACUAACCGUCAGACUAGCCCGAGCGAGAAGUCAGAAUGUUGCAGGUACAUGUAGGAUGACAAGGAGGAUGGCGCAAGCCGCCCAAAUGGAUCAAGGAGGUCCUUCGCGCUUUGACGUCGAGGAGGGUGAGGAGGCUAUGUCCAUGGAUGCUUCAGAAUCCAUGGGACUGCCACCUAAUCCUCCACCACAUACUCCUCGCCCAAGGGCAAGAGCCAGGCGUCGCCAGCCCUCAGGUAUGGAUAUGCUAAUUAAUAGCAUGGGUGAACUACAGAUAGAUCAAGAGGCGACCCUGCAACUAGCAAAUCAGAAUGUCCAACAUAUCCGACGUGUGCGCGAGGAAGAUGCACAACGCUGGGCCGGAUGGUUCCAGCAGUUUCCGCCGCCACAGUGAGCAAAGACCAAGCUUGGGGGAGAUCCUCUCCCCCACCAAGGUAAGUCUUCUAACUUAGCAUUAUCUUGCAUUUAUUCUUAAUUUAAAAAGAAAAGAAUCAAUAAUUUAUAUCCUACUUAGUAUUUCCCUUUUUCAACCACGAUUAGUAUUUCCCUUUAUCACAUGUGCUUCAUGAAUGUUUGUCUUCCUCAUGGAAAUGAUGACUAGUUGCUUGUUACUAUUUCUCUAGUACCUAGUACACAACUUAGUAUUUCUCUAAGUAUGGAUCACUUAGCUGAUUUAAACCACCAUGAACCUAAAAACUUUGUGGGUUGCAAGUGCUAGAACUAAGUCUAAGUUGUUGUGGGACAUGAGAUAGUAAGACAAGAGCUGCUAAAAUAUUGUUCUAAGCAUGCAUGAUUACCAGAGAUUUAUUUCUAAAAUGAUCAAAACCUUAAUUGUUCCUCAAUGGUGAUGAAUUCCUACCACAAGCCACAUCUACUUUACAUGAUUGCAACCUCUCCACAUAAGCUAUUUGCUUUGUGUUGAUUGUCGUCAAGUCUUGUUGACCCUUGUUAAGAGACUUUUCAUACUUCUAAGAUCAAGAUCACGUACACACCACAUAUAUAUGCUACUUCUACACUGGAAGUACGCAACCACAUGCCUUUCGCAUCCACUAAAUAGGUUGCUCCAUGCUCUAAAUAUUAGAACAUCUCUCUAAGCAAUGUUUGGUAAAUGAGACAUCAAAAGGCUAGGCAAAAUGAAAUGAAAAGAUGGACAUGAACAAGUCCACAGAAAAAAAGAAGAAAACUGAGCACAUGAAAGCUCAUAAGAAAAAAAAUAAUAAUAAAGAAAAAAAAAUGCUAGCCAUGUCUCAAUAAAGGAAUAGAGAGAGUAUAUCAAAUAAAGGAGCAACCUAGCCCACCAUAUAUCACACACUUGCACAUCUUGAUCUGGGGGUAUGACACUUGUUUUCAAGGAUCCAAGCUUUGACUUCGCAGCACAUGCAAAGUAAGUAUGCUAUCUCUUUUCAUCCCUACCUUGAGCUCCACAUAAGCCUUUUAGAAGUAGGAUGAAUAGAGAAGGCAACUCUUAUCAUAUGCCUUGGUGAGAAUUCAUACACCAUUUGAGCGACAUGAGAGAACCAUAUGAGGAACAUUAGGUUUUCUUUUAAAAAUAUUACAAAACCUCUGGUAUGAAACUUGCUAGGAAUGAGAAAGUUAGUGCUUAAGUCAAACUGUUCUGUCUUUCAACCACCCAAGACAAAGGAAAAGCCAUAAGCCCCAUAAAGGACUAAGGUAAUACGGGUGAGUUUACAUAGCUAAAUUUUUCAUGCUAAGAGAAGAACUUUGUUGUACACAUAGUACUCUUGAAAUAUGAACAUAGUAACAAUACCUGAUCCAACCGAGGCUAAGUUUGAUUGUUUGCUCGGGACGAGCAAAGGUUAAGCUUGGGGGAUCUUGUUGACGGUGGUUAUACCCUAUAAAUCCACACUCAAAACACCGUCAACACGCCUCGGUUGCAAGAAAGAUCAACAUGUCAUGAGCAUAUUUUAUCAAUAACCAGUUCCACUUGUACUCUUAGCUUGUUUAUGCAGGACUUAGCAAUUUAAGGACAAAACUGUACAAAACCAACAUCAUAACAUUGAAGUGGAGAUCAAAUUGAGUAGGGCUGACGCCCUGGACCCACCAAGUGGGGGUCGGCCGACCCCUGAGUUGUGGGACCCAGGGGUCCCACCUACUCCACCGACAUAGCCAUGACACAGGGACCCUGUAGGUGGGCCCACCCUGCCAGAAGUGGGGUCGGCCGACCCCUACAUGUGGGCCCCACUAGGUCGGUUUGCUCCCACCGACCUUGCCCACAUGUUGCACGUGAUGGUUUGCCCCUGCCGUCGAUCAUAUGGCGGUUGUGAAGUCGGUUUGAUCCAAGGGUGGAGAAGCAAUGUCACGCGGAUCGAUGACGUGGCGAUGGAGUAGCCCCUACUCCACCUCUCACUAUAAAAGGCAGCCUCCAUCCACCAUUUCAAAGGGUGUAUUCCAAGUCCAAGGUUCCAAAUGUAGUCCCAAGCAUACAAGCUUAGUGUAGUUAGUCUAGAGUGGGAGUUAGAGUCGAGUCGAGCGAAGCUCGGGGUCUCCGGAGUCGUCUUCUGGAGAGUUUGGUAUAGCUCUUGUACCUUUUCUCUUUUGUAAGACUUUCUUUUAUCAAUAUAGCAUUCUUACUUUACUUUACUGAGUACUUACUUAGUGCAAGUCUUUUAUAGUCUUGUUGUGCUCUUAUCUUAGUAAUAUAGUUGUCUUAGUUAGAGUGGCGACCUGUAAACAACUCCUUGUGUGUGCAUCAUCGUCCGAAAGGAGCUUUAGCUAUCAGCGCGUUAGCUAGAGUUGUAAGAGUAAGUGUAAGCGUGGUGCUUAUACUUAAUCUUAUCUUUGAUUACCGCUGGCCUGGACGGAAAGUAGGAGCGCACUCCCUAGUAGGUGACAGAUCGUGGGCGGCAUUAGGUUCUCCUCACGUACAGGCUAGUUCUUAAAAGGUAAGGCGUCCAUAAGCCCAAUAGUCGCUUUCGGUAAGGGGUUAGGUGAAAAACCUUUUAAGCGUCUUACCAGCUCGGCUAUCCCUCGCACACAGUAGUAAGGCACUAAUCUAGCUAAGUCAGUUAUCUAUUAAGUUAAGUCACAGAAGUUAAGUUAAGAUAAAUAGGAGUCCUUUACUCACUCGUUGUCCUCCCACCUAGCUAACACUACCAGUUAUCUUUAGGAUCUUGGAAUCACCACUACCCUUCCAAUCAUUUAUUCGUCACCCCUAUUCACUAGUUAAAUACUAAAUCUUAGUAGACACAAGGAUCUCAUUCCCCUUUUGUUAAACACUCUUAGUCGCUUUCCCUUGGGAAAAUAUAAAUUACGAUACCUCGGAAUACUCCUAGGUGAAGUGCUACAGCGGUAUAUUCUGUGCGCUUGCGGAAUCAUCCAAUAGUUAAUAGAGUUACCCCUAACGACACUUCUAGCGCCGUUGCCGAUUUCCGGUGGUUGCGUUAAGAAGUGUCAACAAGCAUUUCUGGCGCCGUUGCCGGGGAGAGCGUCUGUCUAAGAGUUUUAACAAAAGAGAAUCCGGAGUCUACUAACAAUUUAGUUAUCAAUCAGUGUUAGGGGUUAUCCCCGCCUGUCUUGUUUUGUGUUUUCAUGAAACUAGCAGGUGAAAGAGCGGUUUCCAAUCAUCAUCAAACUUUGUUGAAGAUCAUGAACAAUUGAUGAGGAGAACCAGAUACCGUCAGAUUUCACCUCAGAGGUUCACCUCAGAUUAGAAUCCGCUCCAGGAAGGAUGUCCAGCACCCGUUAUUAAGGAAGCUGUGGCCGCCCAAAAGGCCAGCUCUGAGUUCUCUGCGCCGUUGGCUGACUAUGUCGCCACGGGUCGGCAGAUUUACUUGGGGAUGCGACUUUUGAGCUUAAGCCGAUGCUUAUCAAUAUGGUGCAAGCAAAUCCACUCCAUGGGAAGCCACAUGAGGACGCCAAUACUCACUUCCAACACUUCUUCGAGGUAUCGACAGACAUCCAUCUCGUCUUUUUCUCCUAUUCUUGUGAUUGGGACAGGCGGAGCAAUGGUUCGACGUCAACAAGAGUGAAGUCACCACCUGGGGGAAGUAUGAUAAUGCGUUCCUCAAGAAGUUCUUUCCGAUGGGCAAAACCAGCGCCCUUCGUAGAAGGCUUUCGAGCUUCCAACAACAAGCAUUUCUGGCGAAAACACUUCAGUUGGAGAGAAGUCGUCGUCAAGAGGAAACCAUCCCAUCACGCAUGACAGAAUGACUACCUUUCAAUCACAAAUUGUGAUGAAUCAAUCAAGGUAUGUGAGAACCAACCCAAAACAUUUUAUGCAUUUCAAAUUCACCACAUCAUAUUUCUUUUCCAUCAUAUAUCUAGUGCUUUCUUGGGUAGCUCCUAGCCUUGAGCGGUAUUCGGGAGCCGUACCUGGUCUAGGUAGACAACAAUUUUAUUGUUAUCUAUCUAUUCGCUGCUCUUAGUCUAGCUUUGUGGUAGGCGAAAGUUAAACGGGAACAGCCCGGCUCAUAUAUCGGCUUUGUAAGUCGGUAUGAUGAUGACCUUUGGUUGGGCCACGCUACAAGAAAAAGCCAAAGCCUAGAGUUGCACACAUAUCACUUGUUCAAAUUCCAGCAUUGAAAACCAUAGCAUGUUUGUUUAAUCGCAUUCAAUCACAUCGCUUGCAUUGCUCGCAUAUAUAUAAAAAAAUGGUUCUCUGAUUUAUCAUUCAAUAUUCAUACAUCCAUUUCAAAUUGAUCUCAUGUCCCUCAUGAUCAUGCUAUUAUUAUCUAUAGUAGUAUGGUAGGGACUUGGACUAAUCCCUGCAGGAAUUCCUCAAAAAUCUAUGAGGGCAAGUCUUUGAGAUAAAUUUACAAAUGAGGUAAAAUUCUAUUUGGUGAACCUUGAAUGAUACCUUGAUCAAAAGAAACAAAAUGGACCUCGACGGCAUAGUGCAAACAUCCAUAUCCAUCUUCAAGAUUGGAUGAUGCACAACCAAGCUCAAUUGUCAAUGGAGGGGUCCUGCUCCAUGGACCUAAAACAUGGAGCCCUUGCUGAAGGUAAAUCAGUAGUUAUCCCAUAUUUACUUUUUGCAUUUCUUUACUUUUUCCAAUUGCAUGUUUACUUUGAAUUUUGCAUAUUUCAUUUCAACAAAAUAUUUAGCCAUAGUGAAUAAAAUCUUGAGAGAAGCUUGGCAUAAAAAUUUGAGCUUCUGGAGCCUCCAGAGUGGGGUCGGCCGACCCCACUUUGGACCCAUCUCCAGCAUUUUUCAUCUUUGCUAGCAACAUAGAGUAGCAACCAGCACUUGGAUGCUCAUGGAGCUCCAAUGUGGGGGUCGGCCGACCCCCAUAUUGGCCCCACUGGCAUCCUGCUGGCCACCACUUGAAUCACACUGAAAAUUCUAUGCUUGUUGCACCAUCAAAAGUUUGAAAAAGAAAUGGUCCCUUGAUUUAUCACUUUAAUCAUAAGAUGCUCUUUCAUCUUGGGGCCACCACUAGCUCAAAUUUCAGAAAAGUGGUCUCCUAGACAUGCUUUAAAUCACUUUAAACACGUCUCCACUUUUUGCAUUCAUCUUUCACCUUUCACAAAGCACUAAAUAUGAGAAUCUCAGAAAGCAUUUGGCAACUUUUGGUCCACACUUAGGCUUUACUUUUCCAGACAAUCAAUAACAUAAUGUUUAAAGCUGAAAAGUGCCUAGGUUGGGGGUCGGCCGACCCCCACUUUGGACCAUAUUUCAAAAAUUUUCAAACCAUGCUGCUAGAUUCCCUGCAUAAAGCUAAAAGCAACAUCAAGCAACUUGCAAAGUGCUUGAAGGGGGGUCGGCCGACCCCAAUAUUUUGGGUCCACCACUUGCCCUUCAAACCCUAUAAAUACCCUUGCAUUGUGAGCUCAACUCCACAUCCAAAACCACCAGAAACAUUUCGAGCUCACAAGCAUCCAUCUUUCUUCUUUGCCUCAAGUCCUCUCUCAAGUUUAGUUUAGUAGCUUUCAAAACCCAAAAACCCCAAAAAUAGUUUCCCUUGCAUAGUAGAAGUAGGAGUUUGGUUGUUCUCACUUGUAGCAAGAUGAAGAAGCAAUUCCUCAAGGCCUACAAGAAAGCCAUGGGAGAGAGAGCUCAUCCCAUAGCUCUCACCAUAGAAGAGCGGAGGGAGAAGGUCACCAUGGGAUGGUACCUUAUGCUCCUCCAACGAGGACAAGGGAGCCUGAGAGCGGCUUAAUGCUGAGUCCAGAUGAGAUGCAAAGGUAUCUCGCCCUCCGGGGGAGUUCCUUCUUGCACACCAACAUCAUCGACCCGGACCUUUUGGCCCACUCAGGUAUGGAUAUUGAAUUUGAAACUAUCUUUAAUGAAAUUGGAUGGACUAGUUUUUGGCAAGUUCAUGAACUUGGCAUAGAAUUGCUUACUAAGGAAUUUUUAUGCACCCUAAAAGUAACCAACAUUGGCAUAUCCUUCCGCAUGUGUGAACAAGAAUAUGACCUAAACUGGAGCAUGCUGAAUACUGCCUUAGGGUGUGAAUAUGAUUGUGAACUUGACUUAGAUCAAGCCACGCAUCUAUUCAAUAAAAAUGACUUUUGGAAAGCAAUUUCUAAUUCUGAUGACUGUUCAAAUCCUACACCCACUGAGAUUCAUAAUCCAACCCUACGCUUUCUUCAUGUGUGGAUAAUGUGCACUAUAUUCCCUGGCAUGGGAAUUGGAACUUUGAUAGAUGAUGAACUCCAACUUCUCUAUGCCAUGGUCUGCAAAAUCAAAGUCUCCCCUGCUAACUACUAGUAAUCACUGGAUUAAUUCUAUAGGGCAAGGGAGACCCAUCUUUUUCACAUCUUUCAUCACUCGUUUAGCUGAAACUCUUGAUGUGUUUGAGUCACACCAAUUUGAAAACAUUGGCUAUGAAAGAAAUGUGAUAGAUGAGAACUUCUUCAUUGCGGCUAACAUGCUCAUAAGAGCACCUGAUGGUGAGCUAAGAAUGAUUUAUCCGGGCUAUACAACUGAACUUCCUCUCCCUUGUGAGAGACGUCGGUUGUAUAGGGUUCGCACACUAACCGUCAGACUAGCCCGAGCGAGAAGUCAGAAUGUUGCAGGUACAUGUAGGAUGACAAGGAGGAUGGCGCAAGCCGCCCAAAUGGAGCAAGGAGGUCCUUCGCGCUUUGACGUCGAGGAGGGUGAGGAGGCUAUGUCCAUGGAUGCUUCAGAAUCCAUGGGACUGCCACCUAAUCCUCCACCACAUACUCCUCGCCCAAGGGCAAGAGCCAGGCGUCGCUAGCCCUCAGGUAUGGAUAUGCUAAUUAAUAGCAUGGGUGAACUACAGAUAGAUCAAGAGGCGACCCUGCAACUAGCAAAUCAGAAUGUCCAACAUAUCCGACGUGUGCGCGAGGAAGAUGCACAACGCUGGGCCGGAUGGUUCCAGCAGUUUCCGCCGCCACAGUGAGCAAAGACCAAGCUUGGGGGAGAUCCUCUCCCCCACCAAGGUAAGUCUUCUAACUUAGCAUUAUCUUGCAUUUAUUCUUAAUUUAAAAAGAAAAGAAUCAAUAAUUUAUAUCCUACUUAGUAUUUCCCUUUUUCAACCACGAUUAGUAUUUCCCUUUAUCACAUGUGCUUCAUGAAUGUUUGUCUUCCUCAUGGAAAUGAUGACUAGUUGCUUGUUACUAUUUCUCUAGUACCUAGUACACAACUUAGUAUUUCUCUAAGUAUGGAUCACUUAGCUGAUUUAAACCACCAUGAACCUAAAAACUUUGUGGGUUGCAAGUGCUAGAACUAAGUCUAAGUUGUUGUGGGACAUGAGAUAGUAAGACAAGAGCUGCUAAAAUAUUGUUCUAAGCAUGCAUGAUUACCAGAGAUUUAUUUCUAAAAUGAUCAAAACCUUAAUUGUUCCUCAAUGGUGAUGAAUUCCUACCACAAGCCACAUCUACUUUACAUGAUUGCAACCUCUCCACAUAAGCUAUUUGCUUUGUGUUGAUUGUCGUCAAGUCUUGUUGACCCUUGUUAAGAGACUUUUCAUACUUCUAAGAUCAAGAUCACGUACACACCACAUAUAUAUGCUACUUCUACACUGGAAGUACGCAACCACAUGCCUUUCGCAUCCACUAAAUAGGUUGCUCCAUGCUCUAAAUAUUAGAACAUCUCUCUAAGCAAUGUUUGGUAAAUGAGACAUCAAAAGGCUAGGCAAAAUGAAAUGAAAAGAUGGACAUGAACAAGUCCACAGAAAAAAAGAAGAAAACUGAGCACAUGAAAGCUCAUAAGAAAAAAAAUAAUAAUAAAGAAAAAAAAAUGCUAGCCAUGUCUCAAUAAAGGAAUAGAGAGAGUAUAUCAAAUAAAGGAGCAACCUAGCCCACCAUAUAUCACACACUUGCACAUCUUGAUCUGGGGGUAUGACACUUGUUUUCAAGGAUCCAAGCUUUGACUUCGCAGCACAUGCAAAGUAAGUAUGCUAUCUCUUUUCAUCCCUACCUUGAGCUCCACAUAAGCCUUUUAGAAGUAGGAUGAAUAGAGAAGGCAACUCUUAUCAUAUGCCUUGGUGAGAAUUCAUACACCAUUUGAGCGACAUGAGAGAACCAUAUGAGGAACAUUAGGUUUUCUUUUAAAAAUAUUACAAAACCUCUGGUAUGAAACUUGCUAGGAAUGAGAAAGUUAGUGCUUAAGUCAAACUGUUCUGUCUUUCAACCACCCAAGACAAAGGAAAAGCCAUAAGCCCCAUAAAGGACUAAGGUAAUACGGGUGAGUUUACAUAGCUAAAUUUUUCAUGCUAAGAGAAGAACUUUGUUGUACACAUAGUACUCUUGAAAUAUGAACAUAGUAACAAUAC